GCUGGGUGUGGUGGUGCACACCUGUAGUCCCAGCUACUCAGGAGGCUGAGGUGGGAGGAUCACCUGAGCCCAGGAGGUUGAGGCUGCAGUGAGCCAUGAUCGCGUCACUACACUCCAGCCUGGGCAACAAAGGGAGACCCUGUCUCAA
ensembl:misc_RNA Metazoa_SRP Metazoan signal recognition particle RNA